rnacentral:ribozyme from 1 species
AGUCGACUAAGCGACAAAAAAAAGGUAAUUAGGCUUAGAGCGUCCCCGAUAUUUCGGGGGGUUUAC